AGCACAAACAAUGUCUCCCCCCAGACUUUGGAACUGAAUUGGGAUCUCCCUUUUGUUAAGUUCUUUUUAAGGAUAACAGGAUUUAGGGUAGGGCCAAACAGCCACUUGACCCACUUGAGAGAUUGAGUAAUAAAAUCAGCAAGCUCCAGGCAACAUUUUGGACUGCAGUGACUCAGCCAUGUGGUGGGAAGGAAGGGACAUGUAGGUGUCCUUAGGACCCUCCUCUUCCUGAGAUGAGGCAAUGGGGGCGGCUGAUCUUGCAGCAGGCGCUCGCUCCAUGACCUCUACUCUGCUCUCUACAGAAAACCAAAGUGGGGUUGGGGAGGCCAGGAGCUGCCAUCAAGCAGAAGAAGCAGAAGAUACAAAGUCUGAAGAAAAGAAAGCUAAAGAAGAGUAUGAACAGGUACCUUUGAAUGACAGUCACAAGGAAGAUGAGCAGCUGUUCUCCAUCCCCUGGAUCUUCAUAGCACCUUGUUUCCCAUAGAAUGUAAACUUCUCGAGGGUUUUUAUGUCCUAAGACAGCACAGUGCCUGAC
rnacentral:lncRNA from 1 species